rnacentral:rRNA from 1 species
GCCAUCACCCCACCAACAAGCUGAUAGGCCGCGGGCCCAUCCCACACCGCAAAAGCUUUCCACCACAGGACAUGUGUUCUGUGGUCCUAUUCGGUAUUAGACCCAGUUUCCCAGGCUUAUCCCGAUGUGCAGGGCAGAUUACCCAC